rnacentral:rRNA from 1 species
AGAUUGAACGCUGGCGGCAGGCCUAACACAUGCAAGUCGAGCGGUAGAGAGGUGCUUGCAUCUCUUGAGAGCGGCGGACGGGUGAGUAAUGCCUAGGAAUCUGCCUAGUGGUGGGGGAUAACGUUCGGAAACGGACGCUAAUACCGCAUACGUCCUACGGGAGAAAGCGGGGGACCUUCGGGCCUCGCGCCAUUAGAUGAGCCUAGGUCGGAUUAGCUUGUUGGCGGGUAAAAGCCCACAAGGCGACGAUCCGUAGCUGGUCUGAGGGAUGAUCAGCCACACUGGAACUGAGACACGGUCCAGACUCCGUACGGGAGGCAGGCAAGGUGGGGAAUUAGUUGGAACAAGUGGGACGACAAGCCUAGAA